UACAUAGCAAUUUCAAUACUAUAUGUUAUAAAUCUCAAGGCAUGUAAAUAUCAAACUUGAAGGGGGAUAAUCAGUGGUUCGACGAAGAGGUACUUAAAAAGAAGUGCAUUGAUUUAUUGGCAGCCUCAGCAGGCAUGGAUGGAGGCGGAGCUAGAAUUUGAACUUUAAGGGUUUAUAGUUCAGGCUGAAUUAACUCAUACUUGUGCUUCUAGCUUCGCCCCUAGACUGCAGUAUUCGAUAGCAUUCAUCAAUGCGUAAAUCAUCUCAACCUUUUGAUCUUGCUAGUGGCUUCUGUUAUAUUUUGGCCCCAUGAGGAGUUCUCUAGGUUUAAUAAUCUUGUAAGUCGUUGAGAAGCCUUGUGAAAUUUAUCUUCCGUGAUACAUGUCUCUGUCUUGAGAGCGAAAAUAACCUCAUUGACAUCUUCGUCCAGCUGAAGGUGG
rnacentral:misc_RNA from 1 species